GCCUAGCCGUAAAAUAUUAACUCACAACCAAAAGCGCCUGGGAACUACGGGCUUAGCCUAAAACCCAAAGGACUUGACGGUGUCCCACCCAACUAGAGGAGCCUGUCCUAUAAUCGAUAACCCCCGCUAAACCUCACCUCUCUUUGCUUUCUCAGCCUGUAUACCUCCGUCGCAAAUCAACCGUGUGAACGCCGAUAGUACGAGGGAAUGGCCCCACGCCAAAACGUCAGGUCAAGGUGCAGCCUAUAGAGAGGGAAGUGAUGGGCCACAAUCUCUAACCUAGAACAAACGAACUACUGUAUAUGAAACUCAGUUAUGAAGGAGGAUUUAGUAGUAAAGAGAAAAUAAUGUGUUCUCUUUAACACGGCCCUGGGACGCGUACACACCGCCCGUCACCCUCUUCGAAAUAUAAGACCAGUUCUCUAACCCUAAACAAUAAAUAGAGAAGAGGUAAGUCGUAACAUGGUAAGUGUACCGGAAGUGCACUUGGCUAACAAAAUGAAGCUUAA
rnacentral:rRNA from 1 species